rnacentral:rRNA from 1 species
CCUACGGGAGGCUGCAGUGAGGAAUAUUGGUCAAUGGGCGCGAGCCUGAACCAGCCAAGUAGCGUGAAGGAUGACUGCCCUACGGGUUGUAAACUUCUUUUAUAAAGGAAUAAAGUGAGGCACGUGUGCCUUUUUGUAUGUACUUUAUGAAUAAGGAUCGGCUAACUCCGUGCCAGCAGCCGCGGUAAUACGGAGGAUCCGAGCGUUAUCCGGAUUGAUUGGGUUUAAAGGGAGCGUAGAUGGGUUGUUAAGUCAGUUGUGAAAGUUUGCGGCUCAACCGUAAAAUUGCAAUUGAUACUGGCAGUCUUGAGUACGGUUGAGGUAGGUGGAAUUCGAGGUGUAGGAGUGAAAUGCUUAGAUAUCACGAAGAACUCCGAUGGCGAAGGCAGCUUACUAAACUGCCACUGACGUUGAUGCUCGAAAGUGUGGGUAUCAAACAGGAUUAGAUACCCGGGUAGUC